ACCAACUAUACAUUUCUCCCAGGAUUAGGUUUUCGUUUCUUGCAUUCCCCUCGAGUUCCACCAGCUUUGCGACAGCGUUUCUUCACUCGCCGAUUCUCCCUUUUUCACUUGUGUCGAUCUUCUCAUCUCCCUCAACUCGCCGUUCUCUCACCGUCGAUCUCCCUCACGGCAGUUCUCUCAUUGCAGUUCAUCGAUUUCCGGUGGUAGUGAGUACAAACACCAAAGAGCCUUUCGACCAUGGCUUCCCAUUCCCCUAACCUCGAGUGUCGGAUGUACGAGGCAAAGUACCCAGAGGUGGAUAUGGCUGUCAUGAUUCAGGUCAAGAACAUCGCCGAUAUGGGCGCCUACGUCUCCCUUCUUGAAUACAACAAUAUCGAGGGUAUGAUUCUUUUCUCCGAGCUCUCUCGCCGUCGAAUUCGUAGUGUCAGCAGCUUAAUUAAGGUCGGCCGUAUCGAGCCCGUCAUGGUCCUUAGGGUUGACAAGGAGAAGGGAUAUAUUGAUUUGAGUAAGAGAAGGGUGUCUGAGGAGGAUAUUCAGGCCUGUGAGGAGAGGUAUAACAAGAGCAAGCUCGUUCACUCUAUAAUGCGCCAUGUUGCUGAAACUAUGAACAUUGAUUUAGAGGACUUAUAUAUCCAUGUUGGAUGGCCUUUGUACCGGAAAUAUGGUCAUGCUUUUGAGGCAUUCAAGAUCAUUGUAACUGACCCUGACUCAGUGUUGAAUUCUCUAACCCGUGAAGUCAAGGAAGCUGGUCCUGAUGGACAGGAGGAAACUAAGAUAGUUCCUGCAAUGUCCGAGGAUGUAAAAGAUGCACUAAUAAAGAAUAUUAGAAGAAGAAUGACUCCCCAACCCUUGAAGGUCCGAGCUGAUAUUGAGAUGAAGUGUUUCCAAUUUGAUGGUGUUCUUCACAUAAAGGAAGCAAUGCGUAAAGCUGAAGCUGCUGGAAAUGAUGAUUGUCCUGUUAAAAUUAAAUUGGUUGCUCCUCCACUCUACGUCCUUACUACUCAGACACUUGACAAGCUUCAUAGUACUCGGAUUCAUCAAGUCAACCAUUUUCAAUGAUAACCUGCAAAAUACCUUUCAUCACAAAGGAAGCCCUUUCUCUCUUCGAGCUUGAAAUUCAGCAUCUGGCAACCUUUUUGUUGAACCUUCACGUCAAUUUCCCACCAUCGUUGCUCCUCUCAGUGUAAUUGAGCAAGGAAUCACUGUUCUUGAAAAAGCAAUUGCUGCUUGCACUGAGGCAAUUGAGCAUCACAAGGGAAAGCUUGUGGUGAAGGAGACACCCAGAGCGGUGA